CAAUAGCGUAUAUUAACGUUGUUGCAGUUAAAAAGCUCGUAGUUGGAUUUCUGGAGGGAGCGUCGGCCCGUAUUUACGAGUGCGUGACGUCUCUGUCCAUCCUUGCGGGAAGGCACGGCAUUGAUUUGUUGUGUCGGAUCGCAUCAUUUACUGUGAAAAAAUUAGAGUGUUCAAAGCAGGCUUUCGCUUGAAUACAUUAGCAUGGAAUAAUAAGAUAGGACUUUGGUGCUAUUUUGUUGGUUGAGCCUAAAGUAAUGAUUAAUCGGGAUAGUUGGGGGCACCUGUAUUGCGUUGUCAGAGGUGAAAUUCUUGGAUUUACGCAAGACAAACAGCUGCGAAAGCGUCUGCCAAGGAUGUUUUCAUUAA
rnacentral:rRNA from 1 species